GGGGGAAAAAUUAAUUAAAUUUUAAAUAAUAAAAUAAAUUUUAAAAUUAAAAAUAAAUAAUGGGGGUUAAAGUAUUUUUAAUGGAAAAAAUUUAAAAUUUUAUAGUUAAUUAAGUAUUGUAAGAGAAAUUUGAAAUAGAUGAAAGUUAAUUGGGUAGAAAAAAAAUUUAAUUUAUUGUAUCUUGUGUAUCAGAGUUUAUUAAAUAAAUUUUUUAAUUAAAAAAAUCUCGAAUUUAAAAGAGUUAAUUAAUUAAUAAAGUUAAUGUAACAUAAUUAUUUUAAAUAAUUAAUUAGAAAUGAAAUGUUAAUCGUUUUUAAAUAUAUCUAGUUAUUUUAGAAAAAAAUUAAAUUUUAAAUUUAAAUAAUUUUAUAAUUUCAUAAUAAAAAUUAUAAAAAUUUAAAUUUAAUAUUUUAAGGGAUAAGCUUUAAAUUAAAGAUUUAUAAUUAAUUUAUUUAAAAUUAAAAUUUUUAAAAUUUAUAUUGUUUAAAAAUUAUAAUUUAUUAUAAAAAAUUUUAAUAAAAAUAAAAUUUAAUUAAAAAAUUUAAAUUUAUAUAAAAUAAUAAUUUUUAAUAAUUUAAAAUUAAUAAUAAUGAUAAAAUUAGUAUAAAUAGUAAAUUAAAAAUAUAAAAUAAAUAUUUAAAGUUAAUAAAAAGGAAUUCGGCAAAUAAAAAUAUUCACUUGUUUAUCAAAAACAUGUCUUUUUGAGAAUAAUUUAAAGUCUAAUCUGCCCACUGAUAAAUAUUAAAGGGCUGCAGUAUAAUGACUGUACAAAGGUAGCAUAAUCAAUAGUUUUUUAAUUGGAAACUUGUAUGAAAGAUUUGAUGAAAUAUAAACUGUCUCUUAAUUAUUUUUAGAAAUUUAUUUUUUAGUUAAAAAGCUAAAGUAAUUUUAAAAGACGAGAAGACCCUAUAGAGUUUUAUAAUUAAUUUUAUUUUAAAAUUAUAUUAAAGUUUUUAUUAAAAUAAAAUUAAUUAUUGUAUUGGGGUGAUAGAAAAAUUAAAAAAACUUUUUUUAAAAAUUAAACAUAAAUAAAUGAAUAAAUGAUCCAUUAAUAAUGAUUAUAAGAAAAAAUUACCUUAGGGAUAACAGCGUAAUAUUUUUUUUUAGUUCACAUAAAAAAAAAAGAUUGCGACCUCGAUGUUGGAUUAAGAUAAAAUUUAAAUGCAAAAGUUUAAAAUUUUGAUCUGUUCGAUCAUUAAAAUCUUACAUGAUCUGAGUUCAAACCGGUGUAAGCCAGGUUGGUUUCUAUCUUUAAAUAAUAAUAAUAUUUUAGUACGAAAGGAUCAAUUAUUAAAAAUAAUUUUAAUAAGAGAAUAUUAUUAAAUUAAUUAUAAAUUUA
rnacentral:rRNA from 1 species